GCUGCUGUGACCGUGUGAGCCAAGCACUGCAUGCGGACCUGUAUCGCGGUAGCGCGUUCCCAGGACACCCGAUAACAGCACAAUUUUAACGUGCCUGGGACAGACCCGGAGGGCGACCAGCCUUGAGCCACCUGCACCAAGGCAGCUCCUGACAAAAGCUUUGUCUGAGAGCUACACCCAUUGAGGCCUUCCCUGCGUGCUGCGGUGCAGAAGCGCACGGAUCUCUCCUGUCUCUUAGUGGCCACAUGUGGUAACAGCAGAUAUUGUUUACUAUCCCCGCCAAACUUGCACAAAAUGAUGAGGGAGAUGGCCCAGCAAUAAAAACGCUGGCCACCAAGCCUGAAGGCCUGAGUUCGACUCCCCAUGGAAAGGAGAGGCCCGGUUUCAGUAAACUGUCCUGUAAAUUUCCACGUGUUCCAGGACAUGCGCACACGCCCGAAUAAGAACAUGUAGUGCUUUAUUUUGUAAAGUGCCCAUACUGGACUGAACUCAGUAGUUAGAGCAACAGCUGCUCUCAUAGUGUAUGCUGGUUAGUCACCAAGACCCACAUGACAGCUCACAAACACCCAUAAAUCCAGUUCUAGGGGAGCGGACACCCUCACUCAGACACGAAUGUAGGCAAAACAGCAGUUCACAUAAAAUAAAAAAAAAAUUU
rnacentral:lncRNA from 1 species